GGAAAAAACGAAACCGGGGAUAAGUAAUCUUUGAAUGUUGAAUAAUAUUUGCUACUAUUUUAAUAGUUUGUUUUCAGCACAGUUAUAGCCACUCCACAUUUGGUGUUGCACUUUUUCGUAACACAACUGAAUGAAUUUCGAGUUCGGUUUGUUUGUGUGGGCAAAGCAAGGUCGGUCAAUAGCAGCAUUUUGAAGUCAAAUAUGUUUGGAAUGUGGGCAGCGUUAAACUCGGCUUGAAAUCGCUCACUCAUUCAUUCUGCUCAACGGAACCGCAAAUGGGCCAAAAGUUUGAAAUAAAAUAGAAUUAUUUGGCAAUUGUUGGCGGCUGUUUGUUGUUUGGUUUUUCGCUCGUUUCUCGUUUGGUGUCGGAAAAUAGAAAAACUCGCUAAAUCUGUUGGCACAUGCGGAUCUCCGCAAUCUAUCUUAUCGCCGGCGAGGGGUUAUCCAAUGUGUGUUAAAAAGGCCGCUGUCAACGGCAUUUGGGUUGAGAACGAUGCUAUACUUAUUUCUUGCCUCCGGUCAAUUUGUGGCACUUAUCCGUGCCACACUUAAUGGCUUUUCGACGACCAAUUAAAGAGCAGAACAAAGUGCGCAGAGAUGGGGAGCGUGGCGCAGAGCACAGGAAAUGCUUUGGGGGCAGGGUGCCUAUGGAAUGUGGCUGUGGUGUUCCAACACGUUGACAUCGCAGCCUUGUAACCAUUUCCAUCAUCGUCUUUACCGAAUGACACCCACGCACCGAAACUCAGAGCGACUUGCUCUCGGCCAUCUGUGCGUAUACGCAACGUGCUCGCAGAUAGCCGGUGAUAAGCGGAGAAUAUACUCUAUUUGCCGAGAUUCAACAACUGCUGGCCAAAUAUUUGCAGCCUUAGCAGUCCUAUCUGAGUUGGCCAAAAAAAAGGAAGAUAACAAGGUUGGCUAAUUGAAUUUUGCGCGCCACUCGGCAGAUAAAUAAUUAGAUAUACCUGCAGUUAUUUCUCAGGUGUUUGUGUCCAUUUAAAUAGAUGCACAGCAAGAAAUUUGCAUAAAACUCUUAAUGGAUUCAUAAAUAAUGUAUUUGCUUAAUAAAUUAUUUUGAGAUUCCAUAUAUUUUUAAAGUCGUUUUCAAGUAUUUUUAAUCUUUAACAGUGAAAACUUUUUUUUGGUGUGUAGCCAUGUAACAUAUUUACCGACACGGUCGGAAGUUUUGAAUUGGACUUCCUCCGCAGUCACAUUAGUGGCUUUUUCAAACCAUUUUUUGACCACUCGCCUAAGCCCCGUUAUGAGCGAUUGUCAAAUGAGCCACGACAUGUGGCACGCAUACGGAAUUAGCCAAGUCAAAACAUCGAAGGCAACGAGCAGCCAGAACAUGGAAUGCCCUUACACGAGCAUAUCUUAUCUGAGAGUCAUUCCAGACAGUUACGAGUGUUUUAUGGGCUAGUUUCCUGAUGUUAUGCUAAUACCUAAAGUACUAGCAAUCAGUAGAUUUGGAUUUAUAGGUGCUUAAUCUCGUUGUGCGACUUAUGAGCCAGUCAAAGUUCUGUCUUCGACCAAGAGUAUGUCGCACACACAUCAAGCUGGUGCAGCUCCACCGCAUGAACCAUUUAAGGCCACACACUCAAUACCUCUGGCAAUAUGGCUUAGACAACAAACUGGUUGCCCCCUCAAGACAUUAUAAUGACCAUUUUCGUAAUUGAAACCAAGCGGUUCGGUUGACAAGAGUUAAGGUCUUUGUUUACUUCACUUCCCUACUUGGUUCGAUCUGAAGUGAGCGGUGUGAGUCAGUCACUAAAGUCACUUUCGGCUGAAGAUUGUCUUAUUAAAAGUUAUUAUCAAACGGGCGGACUGUUAACCGAAUAGAUAUUGUGAUUCUUUUGUUGCCAAGGCUGGAGUUCUUAUCAGUUCUUUGGGCUGAACCCAACAAGGACAGUUGUGGCUGGUCACUUCCGUUUUGGGGCGUUCUCUCUAGUUUUAUGGUGGCCAUGUGUAAUGUCUGUCACAGUUUGCGUCACCGAAUUCUGUUCUUGGUAAUUUUCAUUUCAUGUGUAUAUAUUUAGAGGCGCGCACAUAUAGUCUCUGUUUGUGUGGAACGUCUACCUCUGCCUCUGCCUCUGCAGAUUUUGUCAUUUAUUUAAGAACUGACGUCGUUCCUGCCCGCCUUCUAUAUCUCUGUUUUCUCUCGCGAUCUCUUGCCAAAAAUCAUAUUCGUACGCCUAGACUUGUCUAUAUACAUUUGUGUAUUCCUAUUUCGUCGGCAACCACCCAUGCAACAUGUGCGUUUAACUCUUCUACGCGGGGGAUCCCGACCACAGCCCAAAAAUGGGUCAAAAGAUCUUUAAGUUUAGGCCAAUAAACGUGUAACCACGAAAAGGUUAUUCGCCCAAACCAUGUUAGUCAGAGAUUAAUACCAUAUGGUUAAACUUCCCACACAGACUAUAAAAGAGGUCUUCACGAUCAUGAACGGUAUUUUGCAAUCGAGUAAAUUUACAGACCAAAAGUUAAAGCCUAUUUGUUAACUGUUUAAUAAAACAUUUCAUUAAAGUUACCUUAAACUCUGAUUUAUUUUUAGCAUUUAGCACAGUAAACACACAAAUUUCUCCAUUGACUUUCUAACCGAUAUUUAAAUAUUUUUGUUGAGUGCACCCAUUCAAAACCUGCAGUUAAACGUGGGCUAAACAUUAGGUUAACUUUCGGUUAACCAGUUUGGCUGUCUGGCAAAAGAAGCAGAAGCAGAAGUAAAGACCAGAAAAAGCAACAUCAACGACCUCGACCACAGUGGAAAAUGUCUCAUUUUGGUGUGUUUUAUGUGCAGACUUGGGCGUAGGAUGUGGGUCGUAGGAUGGCUGAAAUGGAUGACAACAUCGCACAGCUGUUCGGGAUGUGUUCGGAGCAGGGAAUCAACUGCAAUCUAAUGAAAUGAAAUGAAACGGAACGUUCAGCGAAGUGCAAACAAACAAAAGUUAAGUGCACAUCGGUGGGGGAAAUGUGGGGCAUGUUCACUCGCAUUUGGCCAUAAGCAGACGUUGGCCCAGUUUGCAAGGAAUGCGCAGUGGCAGACAGUGGCAGUUGCAAGAGAGACCCACAAAAGCGCGCAACAAGUCUGGUAAGCCAAUGCGACACCUAUUAUGCUCUACAAUCAUUACUUUGCUUACUUAUGGAUAGGGAUUUUACUAUCUAUCAGUUUUAAUUGCGAUUGGUAUUCAUGUCGCUUUUGAAUUAUGUUUAUUUCAUUCCCCAAACAAAUAUAAAAAUAAUCAAGAUAAAAAUCUUAAAAAUUUAAAAUUUUAUUAUAUGAUUUACACCUUACACAGACUGCUUACAUAUUCUAAUUUAACCAAGCGCUUUGCCCCACGUUGGGCGCCAGUUCUGUGACUUACACUCGCGCCAAAAGUUCUACAAACUCUGCUAGCUAUGCAGGUAUUUUUUGGUUUUUUUGUGAAAGCCCCCUAGGCUUUUUAUUCUCCGACUUCUCAAAGUUAAUAAUCUCCAUUUCUACCCUACGUAAAUCACAGACAAAAGAAGGUUUAAAAAAAGUAAAAGAGUAGGUAUACAAGCUAUAUGCAUCCAAGUAUCUACAAGUAUCUAACCAUGUAUAUAUCUACAUUGUCUACUUAUACUGAGAACAAAUAACAGACGCAGAACAAUUGUGAAAAAACUUGUAGAAAUUGGCAUGAAUAAUGCGCCCGCCGGCGAAAAGCGAGAAAAGAGAAAGGGGCAUGGCCGGCAGGAGGAGAAAUGGCCAGAGAAAUGUGGAAAUGUGCCAUGACUUGGGUGGGAAACGAAAGGGGCGAAGUCUGUGGAUCAGUGUGUCCGCAAAAGACUUUUUAGUCGGGCCAACUCGGACUCUCUUGCCUUGUGACAGUGGUGAGGCCGCCCAGUUUAUUGGCAUGUAUCUACUUAUAGAAAGAUACGUUUUUUGAAAAAUAACAUAACCUUAGAAAAUAAUAAAUAAAGAAAUAGUAGAGUUAAAUAAAGCAUAAAGUUACAUUUCAAGUAUUCAAUAAUGCUUCAAGUUUUAAAUCUAAUAAAUACCACUUCUUAUUGUACUUGACCUGUCCAUCAUAUUUCCAAAUCGAGCAAAGCAAUGCUUGCACUGCGAUAAAAAGUUUGUGUUUCAGUGUACACUCGCAUUUCAUUCCAGGUCUUCGAAGCUAUGUGUGUCUGUGUGGGACAAGCCAAAGACCUAACCUAUUACCACAAAAGUACAUUUUUCUUUGCCCACUUUUUUCAGACUUUUUUCUGACUACUUUCAGAGUUUUUUCCAACUUGUUGCCCCGUUUGGUUAGCGGUGCUUAUUGAGUCGAUGAUGACAGCAAAAAAUUAUUUGUGGGCAGUAACCGGUUUUGGCACCUUGUCCAGACUAUCCCCCUUGCAAAAAAAUAGACACAAACACCACCCCCGAGAGUCAUGUGACAGAGAACUGACAUAUGGUUAUGGUAAUUGCGAUUAAUAUUGACUUCAAAUGGUUGUUAGGUUCGCGUAAAGAUUGAGAUGCAAACGCAAAUGGACGGAGUUUUCUCAUAUGUUAAGUGAAUUCCGUUGCGCAACAUCGAUGAGCGAUAUCAAUUCCAUUCCCAUUUUGCAUAAUCUUUGAUUUGAUUCGAGCUCUCAUUUCUUUGAUGCCUUUUCCAUCGCUUUCUUUGGUCAAAUCGGCUCAGGCAAGUGGAAAGUGAAACUCGUUUGUACUCGUAGAAAGUUCGAAUCGGCGAAAGAAGGGAGGAAUCGGCGCAAGAAGAAGCGGCAGCCGUAGAAAACUAAUAUUUAUCCCACAUGCAUGCACGGAUCGGAGAAUAUGAGCUCUUUCCAGCCAGUCUUGUCAUGUGAUUUAUCAAUUAGCAUUAGCCGUUGGCCAUUGGCCACAAAGCCGAAGAAAAGCGCUGGCCUGCGGUUACUUCGCUGGAUUCUAGUCAACUUGGGGAGUUGCUUGCUAAUUAGUAGAGAAAUCUCUCGCCAAACGAGUUUGGGAGCUGGGAAUAGUGGCAGCCAAAAAUGCAUAGUUUGGAGCUUAAUAAAUCAACCUUAUUAUCAAGUUUCCCAAAACUACUGCUCUUUUGUACAUCAACUGAAUUUUGCAUUUAUAGCUCAUACUAAAGAGUCUGUAAACCUUAGUUAUAAUUUUAAUGGGUUGUUGAGCAAUCUGUCAAUACAACCUACUUAUAAUAGAUUGGUUAAUAAACAAUCUUCAAUGCCAAACUGCAGAUGCAGAAUAUAAGACCUAAACAGUUUUUUCUGUGUACUACUAGCAUCGUUUUUCAUCUGGCCGAUAAAAAUAUCUCAGCAGUAGCUGCAUGUUUCCAUCAUUCAUUCCUUAAUAUUAUUAUGAGAUCUUUUUCUCUGGUACUUAUUGCAAGGUGAAUAGAUAAUGAACGUUUAUGUUAAUUUACUUAAUUGAGCCCGAUUAUAGAGACCUUUGUUUUGAUCCCAGCACUUUCAUUUGGCACUGCAUUUGAAAUGAAAAGCGUUUUCACUGAACCAAGCCAAACAUUUGCACUCCGUUGUUAUUUCGAAAUAAAUAGAAAAUAGAAAACAUGACGGGCUAAUUGCAAGUGGAAUACGAAUGGGCUAUGUAAGUAAACAGAAGCGGUCAACUGCUGAAUGAUGAAAAGCCAAAAAACGUUUUACAAAGUCAGCGGAUUCCCCGCCAUCAAAGUGAAAAGUUUUAACGACCGCAAAGCGAAUAUUGGUUAGAUUCAAUCGAAUGCAAUUAAUAAGUGAAUAACUGAGUAAGUGAAUAAGAGGUGCUCUUAACCGGAUAUUCAAGCGAGUGCCGGGGAAGUUUCGGUUUUGGGGGGAUUGUCCGGGGACAGGUUUUUAUUAAAUUUUAUUUCAUUAUCGGUUUUAUGCGAUUAUUAAGAAAGAAAAAGCUUCCGCUGAGCACGCAUUCGGCGACAGUUAUUUAAGCUCGUCUCGGCCUCAGCUGUGUGUAUCUCUCAGAUACUCAGAUACAAUUAUAGCUAGACAAAAGCCGCACAAUAAUUGUCGUUUCAGCAGCUUGCGAGAUUAUUGCAUGGCGACAGGUUUUUGCGAAUUGUUUUCAAGUGCUUUCGCUUGGCUGUGUGUGCAUUACUAUCUGGUUAUGUAACGUCGAGAAUUUUUCAGCGAUUUUGGUGAUCACGUCUCGAAAUGUAUAUACCACGUGUGUAUCUUGAAAAGUUUCAAGUAAAUAAAUAGUCAGAGUGUGAUAAUUUGGAAACUACUUAAUUAGUCAUCUAGUUUCUUCAUGAACUACAAUAAAUCUCGAUUCAUCUUAGCAGUGGUGACUAAUUCAGGUUAAAACCAAAGCUAAUGAUAACAUUUGUGUACUCUAAUCGUUCGCUAUCAUCAAAUCACAUUAUUCAACAUUAACAUUUGUUGCUUAUGUUAACAUUUGUUGCUGAUCUUAUUUCGACUCGAUCAUUUUACCUUCAACUUUGAGGAGAACCCUUUUCGGUUACACAAUUAUGGCCGUAUUUGUGAUAUAUUCAUGCUAAUCGAUCGCAAGAUAUCGAGAAAACCAAAAGCACACAUUGAACAUAUCUGAGAGAUAGCCGCAAAUGUUCUCGUAACUCACAAAUAUUUGUGAAUGCGGUCAAAUCAUGAGCGAAUACUUAGCACUAGUAUCUCCAAGUGUCUCAACCGCAUGUAGUUGGUAUCUUUAUCUCGGAAUCAUUGUAUCUUUCCGCCUGCCUCGUUUAGCAUUGAAGCGCAAAGUGAACUCAUUGAAGUGCCUGCCAUUAGAGAUCAUUGAAGAAAAACUCCACGUGAUUUGCAUAGACAAGCCCAAAUAAAAAUUUAGGUACUUUAUGGCACGUGACGAACCAUGUAGGAUAGUGUGGGCAAUCUUUAACCAGAUCGUUAGCAAAUCGUCGGCAAAAUCACUGGGGUAUGACAAAUAGGUCAAGAGCAGUAGAAAUGGAGUAAAUUCAAAUUCGAGCUUUGAAAAAUUUCCAGCAUUUGCCCAUUCAACUAUAAAGUGCUCUGCAGUUAAAUCUGAUAUCAAAUUGGUUUGUUGCAUAACAUGGUCACGGCUAAACCGCACUCUUUCAGCUCUAUUUCAAUAUGUGAAUGAACGCCGAAGAAUAGAGGAACCAAACAAACCCAUUUCGCUGAUAAGAAAGUAUAUAGUAUAUUGUAUAAAUGGAUGGAAUUUUUGCGGGGGUGGGGGUGGCAAAUUCCAAUUCGUUACAGAGCCACUGAAACGAGGGCUUAUCAGGCCCCAUUAACUUUUUCCUUUGGUUCCAUAAUAGUCAAAUCUCUACGAUAAGGGUAUGAGUUUUCAAUUAUUUUUGCCACAAUCAAUUGCGAAUAUCACGCAUACGUCAUGUUGAGCAGACUUAAAUUUGGAAACAUCAUAAAUGCGUAGGAAACUCAUUUAUACCGAUACUGAUACGAAAUAGAUUCGAUGGCAAAUUGAAAUAUAAUGAUUAGUGCGGAGAAAUACAGCAAAAGUGAAAUGAAAAGCUACAGUACGCAUCAGUGACGUUUGACAAUUUUUCCAAGCUCCCUGGCAAUCUCUCAAUCUUCUUUAUUUUCUCCUCGUGUAUCCCCUUUAUCUGUUCGUUUUUACACACGUUUCGCAAUUGCAAACUGUGCAAAAGUCAGUGAACUGCUUUUAAUUACAAAUCCACGCAGCUGGCAGGCAGUACAUUAUUACAAAGAUAUUUACAAAACGCUGAAAAACUGAAUUUUCCACUUGAUCGAAGACCAAAACAGCUUCGAAGAAAAUGCGCUCUGGAGAUUUCCUACAAACAACAGCCGAGUAAUAAACAUUUUUCUAAUACAUUUUAAUUCCUCGGGCACUCUUAAUGCGAAAACUUUUCGCACAUUAGUUUCGGAGAUCAAACAAAGCCCACCAAAUCACCAAAUUGCAUAUAUGUAUGUAUGUACAUAUGUACACUUGCCGUGCCCCAAUUCAAUUCAAUUCAAUUCAAUUUCCACUUGCACAUUCUGGAAACGUUUGUUUUCUAAAGCCAUUUCGUGGCAGCCUUUAAUGCAUUUUUCAAGAAUCCAGAUGAACAUUAUACAAUUAAAAUGAUAAACAACAAAUGAAACCGCAGAAUACCUCUUAUUGCUAAAUUAUGCAACUGACAUUGAAAAAGUCAAAUGCAUAUGAACGCCGCAGCCCUCUGAAAAGCCAGUGCCGUGUAAAUCUCAUUGAAAUUAACUACAUCGCCCGACUGCAGGGGCAUCCCCUCGACCACCUGCACCUCUUGCAACUCGCAUUCGGAAAUUGCAUAAAACGCUUCCAGAGCGCUGGAAAAUUGCUCAUAACCUCGACCAGAGCGGCGGGAAAUCAUCUGCGAGUGCAUUUUGCCUUGAUGGACAGGGGGGCCGAGGCUGCGGGGGCGGGGGUGGUCUAACAAUUGUCCCUGAUUGGGCAAUAGCAAAAAGUCGGCAAUAGCUUUGGCUGCAAAAAAUGGAAUCAAAUGCGAAGGCUUUCAAGCGAGCGGCGCGAAUGCGCCCCCUGCCGGCCCAGAAAUGAAAUACUGCAGGUGCUACAGAGAGAGAAACGGUGGGUAUUAUCACAAAGUAUAUAUAGGCAACUGAAUGGAAUAUGAAAUCUGGGGAUCGUAGAUCCUCUAAGUCUAACCGAGCUUAACUCAAAUUCUUUGCAUACUCAAUUGAGAAAAUUUGUAUAAUUUCUCUCGGUGUAAUGUAACAAGGGGGAUUGCUUUGGGGUUCGAAGCCGAUGCAAAUUUUGAACUAUGCUAAUUCCGAUGCUAAUACCCAAGCACUGACACACCAGCAUCGGAUUCAUUUGAGCGUAACUAGCGCGAAAAAAUCACCCAAAAUGAGAACGAAACAAUUAAGCUGAAUAGCAACCAAUAUUUGCGUAACAUAUUCCCCACUUUUUCGGGCGAUAAAAAGAAAGCUUUCACAUCGAAAAUUGUAUGCUGUCCACUGCAUUUGCAUUUCCAUUAAUAUUUAAAUUUAUAAACUAUGUAUGUAUGUAUAUCCCACUGAUUGCGUAAGCUGAGACGCAGUUAGGGUUCGCUGCCAACCGGUUUUGCAAUCCACCCAAAACAACGGUGGAAAUAAAAACAAUUAUUGUAACAAGUUAACUAACCGACAACACUUUCGCGGUAUGAGAAGUGGGUUCCCAUGCCUUGGCAGUCGCCUUAUUUUUCCUAUUUUUCCUAUUUUUUCUAUUUUUCUACAUUUCUUUUUUUUACUGCACCUGUAAGUAGAACAACAGCCACAGCAGUAGCAAAUCGCUUGCUCUGUAUCUGCGUUGGGAUCUGUUUUCCGAUCUACUACCUUUUGUUCUAGACCCCCCCGCCCCCUUUCCUGGCUUUUCCCAUUUUCCCUUCCCAUUUCCGCAAGCGAAUAUGUAGUUGAAUUAAAUCGGAUACUCUGUUCCCUCUGACACAGUCGCCAGAUGCGACUGCAGAUGCCCAUGUAUAAUGUGCAUAGGCAUAGGAUGCGACAUACGUCUUUGCCAGCAGCUUGGAGCCCAGAUAGCGCAGCUCCCCAAGUGGGGCUCGGAUGUGGAGCAACAGUUGGGGGUCAGACAGGUAGACAAACACACUGCUCUGCGAGAUUAGCCCAGUGUCUUUCUACACUCUACAGAAACACACAUCCCACUGGCUGGCAUUUAACUAUCAUAUGAACAAUUAGAUAAGCUCAGCAAGCUCAGAUAAGCUCAAAUCGACAGUAAUUGACCUUGCGUCUUUUCACGCGCCACACUUUUUCCAAAAGUUUGUUUUCGUUUUUCUUCUGCUUGUGGUUGUAGUGGUUGUAGUGUUUCGUCUUUUCUUUUUUGGGUUAGACAACAAACUGCAGCUUUAAAUAGAACUCUUUGGGGUUGCGUUAGUGACUAACACUUGAACUUCACACCCAAUGACAUGCGUUAUCAUUCUGCUCGAACAUCUUAGCGAACUGCACAAUUGUGCAUUAAUGAGCCAAAGUGAGACGCUGUGAAGUAAUUCCAAUUGUUAUGCAAUCAAAAAGUGACACAAAGACUCUGUUACUCCGUCUGUUUCCUUUACUUUCAUGCACGAUUGUCGGCAAUUUCAAUAAUUGAGCACUCUUUUCUAUAAUAAGCUCCGGAGUAUAUAACUUAUAACAAUCACAUCUGUCGCAUUAUUGUGUGAGUAUCUUUAUUUGAUAUCUGCCUCUGACUUGUAGAUUGCUUCACGCUCGAUUAAAUAGAGCUAUUGAAUUGAAUCUAUCUGUGGUCAGUACUUUUGAAAACGCCCCUUGGAUAAAAGGGGCGUAAGGCCAGACUGCAGCACUCGAUCACUAAUGGGGCCCAUAUCUACGUACAUAUAACGUGAUAUAUGAUACAACCCCUCGAAAGUCUUAAAGUGCAAUGUCAGAUAUUUACACCACCUAUAUGUAAACAUGGCUUUUUCUGUUCUUGUUUUCGGCUCUUUAAGUCAGCCGCCAAAUGUUUCCACGUAUUUGAGAGGGGUUAAUAUACAUAUAUUCGCUUUGAAUUUCGAUCCCUUUGGGGUUAAUGCGAACUUGUUUAUUCGCGAAAGCCGAUAACAAAUUGAUUGUGUAUUGAUGGGAUCAGCAUUAAAAUGCUCGAUUUUUUGUGCAAUUACUGGAAGGGAAACCAAAGAACUGGUGGGAAGUGCCAACUGUAGCAAAACUUUAUAUAUUCAUUUAUUACUUAGGUAUUUCUUAUUCCAUUUCAAUCUGAGAAUAUCGCAACUAAUCAAUAGAAAUAGGAAAUUAACUUAAAUAUAAUCUGCAAUUCAACGAGGCGAUAAAUGAAUUCUGAAUACUGAACUUCCCAGGCUUUUAGGCCCAAUUGUCUAAAUUUACCAGCUAAGAAUUCAAGUGAUUACAAUUAACAGCGAAUUUCGCAUUGAUUUUGAACUGCGGACAAGCGAGGUGUAUAAAUAAGAACCCAAAAACAGUUGACAUUUCGUCGGCAUGCAACAAGAAGUUCAAUAAGCAACAGGCAAGUUUGGAUCGACUACUGCCAAUAAAAUGUCAAUCGGUGCUGAUGCACUGCAUCGAUUCGAAUCGAGGGGCAGAUCGCCGAGGGGUGGGCACAUUUUGGCAGCUGUUGUGCGGUGCCGCAUAAAAAUAGACAAAUAGCCAGGGAGCGAGAAAAGUGGGAAAAGCUAGAAAAGCGAGAAAAGCGGCGCGGGCGAAAUGCUGUGUGCUUUCCCUUUCCCCAUUGCGCUCCACCCAUUCGGCAAAUAGAAAACUUAGAAAAACUAAAAGCCCAAGUGUGCGUAGAGUUAUAAAACAAAAGCCCAAUACCCAGCACACGUCGCACACAUUUAGUACGUUCAGUAGAUUCGGAAAAGAGCGAGAUCUAUUUAAAGAUUGACUACUGCCAGGAAGAGCGACGGCGACAUUUUCCCGCGGCUGACUGGGCCGGGGGAAAAUUCAACACACCUCAAAUAAAAAUGUAUCUAGGCAUCCGCAAGAUGCCCAGUGUGUAGGGAAAAUUAUGAAAUAAACUAGACCGACCAGAGAGCCGGGCGAAAAUCAAGCAAACUCGGAAGUUAACUAGGUCUACAUAUAUGCGUGCAUCGAAGAUCUUGCUACUUAAGAGCAAAGAAACCUUAAAUUCUAAAAUCGUUUCACAGUGACAUUUAGUGGGGGAAUUUGUGGUACCAAGUUUAAUGACCAACACACGCGAGCAUCAGGUCGCAUCCCAAAAAAAAAUUAAGAGCUCAAAUACCAACGAACUUUAGAAAUCGGUCCCAAAUGCCAACUCACACGGAUGGAUAUACAUAGAAAUCAAUAGCUCUGGCUGAGAUUACAGCACUUUUGGCUGAACCACCAAACCACCGAACCACUCUGGAGAUCUUGGAAUGCGCCCGACCAUCCGAAGUAAAAUGUGAAGUGAAGUGAAGGCAUCUAAACCCGUUUUGGGUCAGCUUUUACACGUUGUUUGGGCCGCUUCAUUGACAUUUCGCCGCAUCGAACGCAGGAAAAACAACAAAAUACAACAAGAUACCACCAAAUACAACAAUAAACAAAGACAAUAAUGUUAAUAAGACAA